CAACCGGACCAGCUACCUCUUUGCUUCAGAGGAAGGAGCAGAGUGGAGCCAGAGGAAGAGGAGGAAGGGAGAACAGCUGGGAAGCAUGGGGCGGGGCUGCUGCCCAGGCGAGGCCUGGCCUCACUCGCACCCACCCUCGAGGGGCAGAAACAGCCUUUCACAGGGUGAAAGGAGAGAGCUCAGGCCUAGGGAGACGGCAGGGACUGGACAUGCUUCAAAGUGGGUUCCCAGGAGUGUCAGGCCCCAGGAACCUCAGAGUCACCCAGGGACAGGCAUUCAGAAAGUCCCCUCCCUCCCUGGGGCUGUGGGCGGGGUUAGAAAAAGGUUUCAGUUUUGUUUCCUAGUCUGCUAAGGAGGAAACUCAUCAGGAAACCUCCGGCGGUGGAACGUGGAGGGAGACUUCCAGGUGUGCGGGAACUGCAGAAGCAGCGUGCCCUCUGCCCACUUCAUCAUCCAUGAAGCCCACUGCCUGCGCUUCCUGGUCUUUUGCUCCAAGUGUGAGGAGCCUGUCCCAGGGGUGAAGAUGGAGGAGCAUUGUGAGCAGAGGCACACGCAGGUCACAUGUGUGAUGUGUCAGCAGAGUGUGCAGAAGUCCUUGCUGGAGUUGCAUGAGACCAAGGAAUGCCAAGAGCGCCCUGUCAAGUGCAAGUUCUGUGAGCUGACCGUGUACUUCAGCAAGCUAGAGACCCACGAGUCCCACUGUGGCAGCCGAACUGAGCGCUGCCCACACUGUGACCAGCUUCUCUUGCUCUGGCAGCUGGCCCAGCACAAAGAUGUUUGUCAGCGUGAACAGGCUCUGCUCAGGGAAGGAAAAGGAUCUGCAGUUCCUGAAAGGAAAAUCUACUGUAAUUAUUGCAAUGAAAUGAUUACAGGAAGUAAGCACAACCACUAUAUGGAUGACUGUUCUGCAGCCUCAGCCCUCCUGAAAAACCUGCUUAGAUCCUUUCCAAGUCGGACUGGUGGAAAUCAAACUCCCACAGCAGAGAAAGAUGUCCGUCCAAAGACAAAAAAUACAAACAGAUUUCCUCUUCCUUCUGAAAAUUCAACAAAACAAGCACCAAGAGAGAAAAGCAGGACCAUGGAUCUGCCUUCAGUAUCUGAGCUCAAGUCAAGGACUGCCUCUCCUACAGGAAACAAGACAGCCUAUGACAUUCUGAGGAAGUGUUCACAGUGCGGCAUCCUGCUUCCCCUGCCCACCCUAAUGCAACAUCAGGUAAAAUGCAGAUGGUUAGCUUCCUCAAAAGGAGAGCAAGUGAGAAAAUCCAGCUAGAUUUGGAAAGAAGAAGUACUGUGAAUUUGGAAGAUCUCCUGUUUGCACCAGCUUCCAUGGUGGUCUCUGCUUAUGAAAGGAGAUGGGUUUUAUUCCUUCGUAUUUAGAAGAAAAAGUUUGCGCUUUAAGUAUGUUCCCUCUUUUGAACAAAGACAUUGGUUUGCUCAAGGGCUCCAGGUAACCAGGAGAAAAAAAAGAUUCCAGUUCUUCUGGCUUGGCAUUCUGGUUAAACUUCCAGCUGGGGUGCCUAAGAGACCCCAGCUUUGUCCCUGAAGAAUAAAAACACUUUCCUUGAAAGCUUCUUGUUUACCUUCUUGGAUUCCUCACCGGUUUUCCAGGGGAAGGGCUGGCAGAAGGUGGACAGCAGGAUGCAGCUUCGCAGAGGAAGGCAGCGAGGUCCAGGGGGAAAAGGAGAAGGAGAAACACCAGGGAGAGAGAUGAGGACAUCCGUCGUGGAAGGCUUUGGGAGGGAAGGUGGCUGGGGCAGCCUGAAGAUGCUCUCUGCCUGUAGGUAAACCGCUUUUACCUUUCUGACCAGGCCCUGGGGAGACCGCUUGGGACCCCAGCUCCUGCCAAGGCAGGGAAGGGCCAAGGAAGUGGGUAGGCUGUGUGCGCCCCACCCUCCCAAAAUUGGAAAGGGAAAGCAUUCCUCAAGCUUUGUUACCUUCCUGUCAGGUUUGCUUGGGGGACUUUGCCUAAGGAGAGAAAAGCAGAAUACGGGGCGUGGCUUCCUAAAGAGAGCCGCACACACUGGGCCUCUCAAGGCUCAGCUGGACCCAGGGGCUGGGUCAGGACUCGCCAGGUGGUGGACUGAGCUGAACUUCUUCCUUGCGUGCAGGGGCCACUCGGCGCCUUCCAGGACACUGCGCAAGGCCCGUGGCGCCCUCUGCCCUCGCGAUCCACUGAUCUGGC
rnacentral:lncRNA from 1 species